rnacentral:rRNA from 1 species
UACGAAGGGUGCAAACGUUGCUCGGAAUCAUUGGGCGUAAAGCGCACGUAGGCGGCUUUGCAAGUCGGAUGUGAAAUCCCGUGGCUCAACCAUGGACGUGCAUUCGAAACUGCGAAGCUUGAGUAUGGAAGAGGGUCGCGGAAUUCCCAGUGUAGAGGUGAAAUUCGUAGAUAUUGGGAAGAACACCGGUGGCGAAGGCGGCGCUCUGGACCGAGACUGACGCUGAGGCGCGAAAGCGUGGGGAGCAAACAGG